AUGAGAACAGAGUGCUGCAUGCAUCACUCACCCAAGUUUUUUGUUUCCCUAUUUAAGGAAUUUACAAUAGAAGGGCUGAAGGGAACACUGAGGCCAAAGGACUUUGUCAAGCUGAGCAAUUCUACCAAAAGUGUUAUCAUGAACCUGCUAAAUUUACAUGUGUUUUGUUUACAUUGCAAAAGAGGGUAUUAGGAGAUUUAAUUUAAGAAUACAUGUGAAACACUUCAUUAAUCAGAGGGAAAGUAACGUGGAAGCAUGGAUCAUUAUCAUUAUUAAUUAAUUAAAGAAUCUCCCAGGACACAAAAAGAAUGAUUAUGGUUAGGUGAGUUGUUUUUAGAGUAUACUGAGCUGUGACUUUGAAAAUAAUUUCUGGGCAACACUGGAAUAAAAUACAUUAGACUUGGAUCUAUAACUGCA
rnacentral:lncRNA from 1 species